rnacentral:rRNA from 1 species
UACGGGGGGUGCGAGCGUUGUCCGGAAUUACUGGGCGUAAAGCGCACGUAGGCGGCUUUGUAAGUUAGAGGUGAAAGCCCGGGGCUCAACUCCGGAAUUGCCUUUAAGACUGCAUCGCUAGAAUUGUGGAGAGGUAAGUGGAAUUCCGAGUGUAGAGGUGAAAUUCGUAGAUAUUCGGAAGAACACCAGUGGCGAAGGCGGACUUACUGGACACAUAUUGACGCUGAGGUGCGAAAGCGUGGGGAGCAAACAGG